CCCGUUGCCAGGGUUACCUGAGGCCCUGAUUUAAUGAGUGGGAUGGGUACCAGAGCUCCAAUAGCAGUUCAACUACGAGAAUAAUUUGUAGAUGGUAGGUGCCCAAUACAAUACACUACUUAUUAAACGAUGAAAAGCAGCGUAUUUCAUGGAGGAAGACAUCUUUGAAUAUGGACUUCACCAUGGCCUGGUUACCUCAGAGUGUGACUGGAGCUUCCCGUGCAACGGCCCUGCAGAAAACCAACCUCACCGCCCAGGAACUUCAGGAAGCAGGUCGCCAACAUCAAAACUUCCAAAAAACAUCAAAAGAGACAGUUGAAGCAGUCUCAGAGGAGCCUGGCCUGGGGCUCUUCCUGCGGGCGGGUCUACCCCUUCCUUAUGGAAGGAGGCGCAAUCAGCUUUGUGGACAAGAUAUACUGCGAUGGGUAUUUUAAGUAAUACAAGCUGGUAAAGAUCAAGCUUCACUAGAAUAUUUUUGUUAAGGGUCCACAAGCACUGGGGCUUACUUCUAGGGACCCAACCAGGAACUACAGAAGCUAAGAAGACCCAAACCAGGCUCGAGCAAAGGGCAGGAGAAAAUUUGGCAGUCUGGUGGGCUGGGUGAGUUACUCAGCCAGAGGGAAUUGCAUUUGCAGAGGGAGCUUGGCGGCCAGUCAUGCCUGGG